rnacentral:rRNA from 1 species
UACGUAGUGAUUAUAUGGACUUACUAGAUUCUCUAUCUAUUAAUGCCGUAAAUAGCUACACCGACAAGAAAAUAAAAAUAUCUAAUAAAAAAGAGAUUUUAAAAUUUGCUAGUCAAGUUGGUUUCUUGGAAGGUGUUGAAGUUACUGAUCAUUCACGUGCUUGGAGUGGUUGUGACAAAUCACAAGUUUUAUCAGAAAUGGUGGCUUCGUAUAAAAGGUAAUGAUAUAGUCCAAUCCUUGUAGCGAUACAAGAUAGUCACUAUUUGCUUUAGUGAUAAUAAAUGUAGAUACCCGUGUAAUCUUGGCUGUAAACAAUGCCUGCUAGAUACUUGGAUUUCUGAGUGUCGAAGCUAACGCGUUAAGCAGGCCGCCUGGGGAGUACGGCCGCAAGGCUAAAACUCAAAGGAAUUGGCGGGAACCCGCACAAGCGGUGGAGCAUGCUCUUUAAUUCGUUGAUAACCGAAGAACCUUACCAGGGCUUGACAUGUAGGUGCUAAUCCGGUGAAAGCCGGACUCCUUCGAGGGUCCUACACAGGUGUUGCAUGGCUGUCGUAAGCUCGUACCGUGAGGCGUACCCUUAAGUGGGUCAACGAGCGAAACCCCUACUGUUAGUUGUAUCACUCUAGCGGAACUGCCGUCGCAAGACGGAGGAAGGUGGGGAUGACGUCAAGUCGGUAUUGCCCUUACGCCCUGGGCUAGAAGCAUGCUACAAUGGCGCGUACAAAGUGAAGCAACACGGUAACGUGGAGCAAAUCACUAAAGCGCGUCCCAGUUCGGAUUGAGGUCUGAAAUUCGACCUCAUGAAGUUGGAAUCGCUAGUAAUCGCCGGUCAGCUAUACGGCGGUGAAUACGUUCUCGGGUUUUGCACACACUGCCCGUCACGUCAACAAAGCUGGGGCUACCUUAAGUUCUGCGUGUAGUGGACCCAAGGUAGAAUCAGUGAUGAGGAUGAAGUCGAAUCUAAAUACAUGGA